rnacentral:rRNA from 1 species
UACGGAGGGUGCAAGCGUUGUCCGGAAUCACUGGGCGUAAAGGGCGCGUAGGCGGCUCAUGAAGGCUGUGGUGAAAGUCCGGGGCUCAACCUCGGAUCGGCCGUGGCGACUCGUGGGCUGGAGCACUGUAGAGGCGGGUGGAAUUCCGGGUGUAGCGGUGGAAUGCGUAGAGAUCCGGAAGAACACCAGUGGCGAAGGCGGCCCGCUGGGCAGUGGCUGACGCUGAGGCGCGAAAGCGUGGGGAGCGAACGGG